UACAGAGGGUGCAAGCGUUGUUCGGAAUUAUUGGGCGUAAAGCGCGUGUAGGCGGCUUUGCAAGUCGGGUGUGAAAGCCCUCAGCUCAACUGAGGAAGGGCGCCCGAAACUGCAGAGCUUGAGUACCGGAGAGGAUGGCGGAAUUCCCCAAGUAGAGGUGAAAUUCGUAGAUAUGGGGAGGAACACCGGUGGCGAAGGCGGCCAUCUGGACGGUCACUGACGCUGAGACGCGAAAGCGUGGGUAGCAAACAGG
rnacentral:rRNA from 1 species